rnacentral:rRNA from 1 species
AUUGAACGCUGGCGGCAUGCUUUACACAUGCAAGUCGAACGGCAGCGCGGGCUUCGGCCUGGCGGCGAGUGGCGAACGGGUGAGUAAUACAUCGGAACGUGCCCAGUAGUGGGGGAUAGCUCGGCGAAAGCCGGAUUAAUACCGCAUACGACCUGAGGGUGAAAGCGGGGGAUCUUCGGACCUCGCGCUAUUGGAGCGGCCGAGGGCAGAUUAGCUAGUUGGUGGGGUAAAGGCCUACCAAGGCGACGAUCUGUAGCUGGUCUGAGAGGAUGACCAGCCACACUGGAACUGAGACACGGCCCAGACUCCUACGGGAGGCAGCAGUGGGGAAUUUUGGACAAUGGGCGAAAGCCUGAUCCAGCAAUGCCGCGUGUGUGAUGAAGGCCUUCGGGUUGUAAAGCACUUUUGGCGGGAACGAAAAGGACUGUGCCAAUACCACGGUUCGAUGACGGUACCCGCAGAAUAAGCACCGGCUAACUACGUG